rnacentral:rRNA from 1 species
GCGGCGUGCUUAACACAUGCAAGUCGAACGAUGAAGCACCAGCUUGCUGGUGUGGAUUAGUGGCGAACGGGUGAGUAACACGUGAGUAACCUGCCCCUCACUCUGGGAUAAGCCUGGGAAACUGGGUCUAAUACUGGAUACGACCGAUUUCCGCAUGGAGUGUUGGUGGAAAGUUUUUGUGGUGGGGGAUGGACUCGCGGCCUAUCAGCUUGUUGGUGGGGUAAUGGCCUACCAAGCCGACGACGGGUAGCCGGCCUGAGAGGGCGACCGGCCACACUGGGACUGAGACACGGCCCAGACUCCUACGGGAGGCAGCAGUGGGGAAUAUUGCACAAUGGGCGAAAGCCUGAUGCAGCGACGCCGCGUGAGGGAUGACGGCCUUCGGGUUGUAAACCUCUUUCACCAGGGACGAAGCUAACGUGACGGUACCUGGAGAAGAAGCACCGGCUAACUACGUGCCAGCAGCCGCGGUAAUACGUAGGGUGCGAGCGUUGUCCGGAAUUAUUGGGCGUAAAGAGCUUGUAGGCGGUCUGUCGCGUCUGCUGUGAAAGACCGGGGCUUAACUCCGGUUCUGCAGUGGGUACGGGCAGACUAGAGUGUGGUAGGGGAGACUGGAAUUCCUGGUGUAGCGGUGAAAUGCGCAGAUAUCAGGAGGAACACCGAUGGCGAAGGCAGGUCUCUGGGCCAUUACUGACGCUGAGAAGCGAAAGCAUGGGGAGCGAACAGGAUUAGAUACCCUGGUAGUCCAUGCCGUAAACGUUGGGCGCUAGGUGUGGGACUCAUUCCACGAGUUCCGUGCCGCAGCUAACGCAUUAAGCGCCCCGCCUGGGGAGUACGGCCGCAAGGCUAAAACUCAAAGGAAUUGACGGGGGCCCGCACAAGCGGCGGAGCAUGCGGAUUAAUUCGAUGCAACGCGAAGAACCUUACCAAGGCUUGACAUACACCGGAAUCAUGCAGAGAUG